AUGCACCAGAUACUAGCCUGACAGCCCACUUGGUCUCAGAUGUUUCUCACACUGGGAUCGUCUAUGGCUGCAAGGUUACAAACGGUGCGAGAGCAGCAUCAGCCCUGAGAUUUAAGCUUUUCAGUUUGGAGCAGCACUGUGAAGUUAUGACUCAAAGGCACAGAA